rnacentral:rRNA from 1 species
CCUACGGGUGACAGCAGUGAGGAAUAUUGGUCAAUGGGCGCGAGCCUGAACCAGCCAAGUCGCGUGAGGGAAGACGGUCCUAUGGGUUGUAAACUUCUUUUGUCGGGGAGCAAAAGACGCCCCGCGUGGCGUUCCGAGAGUACCCGAAGAAAAAGCAUCGGCUAACUCCGUGCCAGCAGCCUCGGUAAUACGGAGGAUGCGAGCGUUAUCCGGAUUUAUUGGGUUUAAAGGGUGCGCAGGCGGAAGAUCAAGUCAGCGGUAAAAUUGAGAGGCUCAACCUCUUCGAGCCGUUGAAACUGGUUGUCUUGAGUGAGCGAGAGGUAUGCGGAAUGCGUGGUGUAGCGGUGAAAUGCAUAGAUAUCACGCAGAACUCCGAUUGCGAAGGCAGCAUACCGGCGCUCAACUGACGCUCAUGCACGAAAGUGUGGGUAUCGAACAGGAUUAGAUACCCUGGUAGUC